AUGCAACUUAUGUUUGAGACCUGUUGCAAAACGACUUCCGUUUCCUCGUUUUGCAAAGCCUGGGAGGCCGGUGCCUCGGCCGAGGAGUCUUUGUCGGACACGUUUGAACGAGGGAGCGCACUGAGGUGUACUGACAGAGGUAAGGUGACGUUUCAUUAACAUCCACUUAAUACACAGGGUUAGUCGCCUCAUUCUUUUCGGAUUUAUUGCAUCACUCGUAAGUUAAGACCUUCAAGAAAGCAUUUCUUUGGGACAGUCAUUUGCUUUGUGGUUUAAAGUUCCUGUUAAGUUGUCAUUUUGACUGUUCGAGGUUUCCGCCCGACAGCGACGAUAUAUUUGUUGUAAAGCAGCCUUGCGAUGAUGUAAAAAGAUUUAUCAGAAUUUCCGGGUAGUCUCAGCCCUGGAUUCCACUAAAAUAGACCCGCCCCUGUUCUGAACAGUAGCAAAAUCACUCUCUACUUGGAGAACCACAACAAGAGCAGUAUGUGUUAACGUUGCAAAAUGAGGAACGAACAAUCACGAGUUGCGUUUUUGGCUGCGGUAACCGACUUAUCCUUUUCCAAGGACGUAAUGAUUAGACAUGUUGUUACUAUUGUGAUUAACGACUGGAUGGAAGUUUGGAAAACGCUAAAGUGAAGGAUGAGAACAAGUUAGUUUUGUUGCCCAAAGUUUAGAUGUCUGAUAAUCAUCAUGUCAGCCUGAUCACUGUGCUGUCUGCACGCAAGUCGGGCAGCCAAUGGCUUUAAACCAGUAUCACCAGCAGCCUGGUUACAAGAGGAGCCCUUUUGGUUCUACAUACCAGACGAAAAGCUAAACAGGUGUUUAGUUAACAUGCAGUGGCGCGUGCCAAUCGACAGUUUUACCUUGUGUUGUCCGGCACCGACUGUUGCUGUGGACACACAAGCGCGUACAGUUGCUGCACCUUUUAGAUCAGAAUGUCACGAGACAGCUGUUUUAGUGACUCAAGCAAGUCAAAUGUUUACAGUGGUACCGCACACUGUUUUGUCUAUCAGCAGGCUAACUAACACAAGGAUCCAGAUCACUUGUGGCCUUUGUUAACGGUACAUUUGGACCAUGAGUCAUGCUGUAGCGUCACCUGUUGAGGAGCUGCAUGAUCCCACGCCACACCUCCCCUGAUGGACAGCAGGUGUCCCACAGUCCACUUGGACACUUUGUGCAUGAGACAACGCCAAAUGUCCACCAGCUGUCUGGCAGCCAGCCCAACACCAGGCAUUGACAAGAAGCACCGGUUAUUUUAAUGUUUCACUUUGUCUUGUACUUGUAGAUUGCCUUUUUUGCUUCAAGACAAGGUUGACUCGUAAUUGAUUUAUCUAUGCCCAUUCUAAGGUCUUAUAUUAUUACUAAGGAAAUAUGCUGCCCAUAGGGGCUGUGAACAGCAUUGAGGAUGACAUCAGAGCAAUCAGAUCGGGUGCUUGCUAAGUGUCAUCUUCUGGUAAAGCAUUGACAUCAUUGCCACAUUGCUGCGUUUCUGUCACCACAUCUUUGAUUCCAAUGAAAGAAAAAUGAUUCCAAGACAAGACCAAGAAAAAUAGUAGGUCAACUAUCUAAUGUAGCCAUAUUUUGUUAUUGACAAUCACUAUUUGUUGCUUAUUCACAUUGGGUAAGCUGUACCAUACUAAAAGCCUAUUUUCUUUUUUUUGUGUGUGUGCAUAGUACUAUGUGACAGAUGGGCAGGGCAUAGGGACUUGGCUGGCCUGCUAAUAGCAAAAAAUACACAUGUAUAUAAGUGUCGGGCAUUAAAAUGCAUGAGGGGGCUGCGAAAAAAAAUAAAAAAUGGUGGCCACAACAACAAAGCAAACAAAAAAUAUGGCUCACCCUGAAGGGGAAAACUCAUAAUUUGGGUUUCGCAACACAGAUUCCAUAUUAUAGUUAGUUUAUCCUUUAUCUAAAUUAAUAAAGUUGUAAAUUAGAAUAUAAUAGUAUAAAUAAGUAGAUAUACUUGCAUUCCUAUUGAAAAAAAAAUGUUGACUGAUGCUUUGUAUCCGAUGCAUUGUGGUUUGCUCAGAUACUUUCUAAGUUAAAAAGAAAGCGAACUGGGAGAAACCAACCAAUUACAACAACUGAUUUGGACUAGGGGGAAAAAAUAUAGGUGUGAAAGCCGCCUGAGAAUGAACAUACAGUAGGCUUAGGUUAUGAGAAGCCCUGUGCAUACACUUUGAGCGUUCCAUUUUGUAAUUGGUGGGGGUGAGAAGCUAAAAUAAGCAACAUGUCAUUUUCCCAUCGCCGGAGUUGUUGCGACUGUGCAAACACUGUGAGAUGUGCGACCUGAUACUGUUGCCAGUUAUUCUGAAACAGACACACGGAACAAUCGCCAAAACAACACAAAGCAACUCGCCGCCUCAUCUGUUUGCCUGACUCUGAGGCUCAGUACCGGAAAGCAAGGUAGCACUACAUAUUUGAACACUACCAGUUUAUAUACUGUGGAAAACAAUGUUGACUGAGAUUGUUGGAACUAAAUGUUGAUACAAUAUUAUGAUAUUUUGCCGACAAUACAAUGGUGAGCAAUUACACAGGGAUAUAUACCACUGACACACAUCAUGAUUCACCAAUGUGUCAAAUGGCCACAGCCCCAACUACUGGCCAGGUUUUAUUCAAUGUCAAAUUAUUUUUGCCUAAGUGUCAGUGGCUGGUAUCGGCCCCCUUCAAGAAAACGGCUACAUUGUAAUUUGGAUGGUAUUGGCUCAAUACCGAUACCUGGCAUGGGUAAUGCCCAUCGGUAAUGAACAGUAUUCUUUCACAUGACAAACGUAAAAAAAGACACUCAAUUUUAGCAUGGAAAAAAAUGAUGCAAAAUGAGCAAUUACAAAAACAAUCCACUUUUAAUUAUGUGUACAAGUUCACCUAAUGGUGCACUCAUAGACUAUAGGUUGAAUAAUACAAGUCUGUUUGUAUUGUAGCAUGGAAAGAGUGGCAUUUUCCCCCAGAUAUUCAUUAGUUUCUCAUUAUCUCGCAGUAAAAGGAGCGACCAGCUAGUCUCUUGAGUGUUAACAGAUGGGUGGGUGUGUCUUUACAGAUCCUGAACUCCCUUUUAGCGUGUGCAUUCCUUUGGUAUGCUGCAUGGCAUUUUGCCAGGUUCAAGUAUAUUACCUCAGUAAAAGGAAUGUUUUUAAUGUAGUAUUUAAGGACUCCAAAAGUAACCUGAGUAGAGCCAUUCACCCAAAAUUCAUGAGUAUGCAUUAAAAUAUUCAUAGAAGUUCACAGCUUGGGUUAAAAUCCAUCAUGGUUGGUACCAGCACACAUUAACACCAAAUGAUAAAUCUGCUCAGUGCAUUCCGAUCACAAGAUGUAAGCUUAUAUGUAGCUUCUUAAUAUCCAGCAAGCAUCAAGGCACAUUUAUACGUGAUGCAUGGCAUCAGGCUGAAACAACUCUGAUCAGCUCUACAGUCGUAUUCAACUGAGGCUGAAAGAGAAUACUGCAAUCAAUGGGGAAUUGGGCAAUUAUAAUUGAGGUCAAUGAUCAUUAACCAUGAUUGCAGUUGUUUGACCGUUUAUCUUGGGCUUAUUUUUUUGCAUCACAAAAUAUGGCAUUUUAAAGGGAGGGUGUAGACUUUUUUAUGUCAAAUGCAUAUGGUUAUUGUUGAGUUGCAAUAACUUAAUGUUUACGACCGGUACAUGAGUCCCUUUCAAUAUAUCGUAUGCCUUGAUCGCCUUUCGACUCAUUACUAAGGCGCCAUUUCUUUGAAAAUAAUUUGUAGUUAUUGAGUGAACAGCUCGGAUCUUAACAGUGUUUUCUGGAGCCAAGGGAACAGAAAUUUGAAUUCCCCAGUGGUACAAUUUAAGAGUUCAAUCAACAAUUCCUGGAAAAUUAAGCCUCAAAAGGCAGAUAAAUUCAUGUGACUUUCACAAGCUUUGCGAACAUCUUAUGUCAUCAGUCUGUGUUUUCCCUUUUUCUCUUCUGUGUUUUUUAUAAUGCAACUCCAGAAGGGUGUCACUGAUGGCGAUAAGGGAUAUUAACCUUAGAACCAGCAAUAGAAUUUAGAGCAAGAUGAAAAAAUAAUCUCACUGAUCACUACAAUCAGAGCAAAACAAGACCAGCAAUUAAAUUAAAUUACGUACACAAACUUGCAGAGUAGAUACCAUGUUAAAGAUCUUUAUUACCAUCUAUAAAUAAAAGACUAUAUACGUUGUAUAAAAUUCUUGUGGAAGACUAUCCUUUGUCAAGAGGUGUGUGGAUUUCUCCUGAGAACAUUUCUUGGAUAAAAGCAACCGAGUGACACUGACACCCACUCACACAACACACACUACCCCACAUGCAGUCUCCCAUGUGAGUCACACUUUCCCGUACGUCGAGGCUUCCUCUCUCGAAUUAAACAACAUUGUGCUCUACGUUUGUCAGAUGACUCAGUGAUGUGUCAUCCCGCUGCUAUCACAGCUUGAGACAACCGCUUGGCAUCCGGGUGGCCACCGCUCUAUAGCUUUGAGCGACAUCCUCUUUUGUGCACUAACUCGCCCUCAAAUCCCUGCCUCAGCACUAGGUCCCUGUUUUUUUCUUUCUUUCUCUGACUGGCUGGGGCGUGGCAUCCAAGCACUCAAAAGUAUUAGUAAUCGUAUUUACUUUUUAUAUUACAUUCAGAUAUUAUCUCCAGAUCCAGACUUAUCACAUUUGUUCCACCAUUAAAUUAACUUACGCUGCACAUUGAGGAGUUCCUUCGGCAUUGUAUUUAAUUGUGUGUUAGUGGCAAUUUUCCGGUCGACAUAUUGUAUCUGCAGGUGGCAGUGUAAGAAUAGAAGAAAGCACAGUGGCCGUGUGUUUAGUGAACGAGACGAAGUGACCGUUUGAACGGUUAAGGCGAUGGACUGCCAAUCCAUUGUGCUUUGCAUUCACGGGGUCGAAUCUCAUCCUCAUCCAUGUUUAGCUUUGUCCUAUGGUAUCAACAGGUACAGCAAAUAUUGUAAUGUCAAGUACUUGCAUCAUACUGUGUUUUAUAAUUACAAUGAAUAGUGGUGUACCUUCCAUAACGGUAUGAAGCACAAUGCCAAUGAGGCAUGCAACAGGCGAAUGUCAAGUGACACAUUUCACAACUGAUGAUGGGUGAGCGUCUGCUUUUUUAUAACUCACUCGCUGCUGUUUGCCUACUAGUAUAGGUCCUUUUAAGAUAAUAGUAUACAUUUCCUACAUUGAAUAUUGUCAGUAUUGUCACUUUCUCUCUCUCUCUCUCUGUUCUAUUCAUUUUGAAAACAGGAUAGGCAACUUUGAACAAAUCAUAAAAAUGAAUACUGAACAUGUAUUACGUACUCAAUAUUUUUGGCAAAACAAACACUAACAAAACUCCAACACGCACACCCACCCACACCCAUACAUGUUCCAUUGAUUCAGGAAGCAGGUCAAAUUUUUCCAUCCAAAUCGAGGAGGUCCUAGGUGUACGUGCAGCAACAGUCGAGUGACUUCCUUUGCCAAAGGGCCAAAUUCCACAUGGUCCAUGACCAUUAACAUCAACCCACCCAGACUGGCCCAGACCCCUCCCACCUCCUGCUCUCUGCGCAGUUCUUGGGGAAAGCCUCGCUUUCACAAGCAGCUGUUAGGUCUUCUCCCCUGGCACGAGAGCUCGGAAGAGGUUGUACGCUUCCUCGUGCUGUCAACAUCUCCUUGUCGCUCACUUUUACAGCGUCGUUUACACCAGAGAAACACGAGGGCGGAUGAAUUGAUCCCAAACCUUAUGGCAGUCAUACUCGGUUGUCUGUUUACUUCUCAAAUUAUAUCAUGGGAGAAAUCUUUGAACAAUAGUGACAGGCCUUUUUUAAUUAUACUGAUAUAAUAAGUGUGACGAUAACCAUGACAAUAGCACUUGAAGUCAAAUGCCCCAAUCAGUUUGAAAUGAAAACAUUAGUUUUAAAAAGUUGCACCAAACUUUAGCCGAGAAACAAUAAAUACAGAAAUACAGAAAAGUCAAGACAUUUUAUUACCCUUUGCAAUAUUUUAAUAGCCAAACUUUCUUAAUAGACAUUCUUGGCCAACAUAUCUAAUUCAAGUGAAAUAUGGGACUCCCUUGUAUAUUCAUGAGAUAUUUUUUACCUAAUCAUUCGUUAUUUGGAAAAAGAAAAAAACAAAACAAAAAAAAGAGACACCUUUACUACAGUCGGACUUGAGGUGCGUUACAAUCAGCUCGUGCUAACUUUUACAUUGCUCUUUAAAAACUCCCUACGUGUGGGGCGGCAGGGUCAGUGGGCUACGUCAAGAAUCUGGGCCACAGCUAUCUGAUCCCUUUUUACUUGGUAUGCAGUUAAUGAGCUUUUUGAACCCUCAUUAGACACAACUCCCCCUCACACCAACACACAUUCACCACAAGCUUUUCACCCCCACUCUGAAACGUGUGCCAGCCCACCAUUGUAUCUUACACCGUGGAGACAUGCAGCUGCCUUUAGUCUCGUCUCUUGGAAGCAAGAGCCAGGCCUCAGUUAUACAGUACUAACAUAGGACACACACACACGCACACACACACACACACACACUGCAAAGGGCAAAGUUGUCAUAUUGUGUGUUUUGUAAAUGGGGGUAACAAAACGGCAACGAUGAGGGCAAGGAAGGUCGAAGCAGGGCCGCUUAAGUCUGCAAAGUGUUGGAAUGCAAUCAACAGCUUACAUCUUUAACACAAAUGUGACAUUUAGUAAGUGCUGGAUGGAAAGUUCUGUCUAUUAUCAUUGGAGAGGUGGGUGGUCUCUAAGACCAAUAGGGGGUCCAUGCUGUGUUGCAUUUUGUGGAAGGCACCUGAAAUCAAAUGCUAAUCUUUUCUUGGAGACUUUGUGUUACUGUUCCUGCUUACUUGCAAUCAGUCGAGCAAGACAAAUUUGCCCCUCGUGUGCUUGAGCAUAUUUCUCAUGUGAUGUAGCUGUAGACUUUUGUAGGCUCCGAAGGAUUAAGACAUCUUUUCGAUGAAGAAACGUUUGCAUGGAACAAAUUACACUCUUGAUGACAAAUUAACCUUGGUGUGAAUAAGCAGUUUUUUAAUCCCAAUGUGCCAAAUUUUCAAAGUUAUCUUUUUGUGUGUGUGUGGUUUUUUUUAAAGGUAUGCAACAAAUUAAUGAAAUUUCUAUUCAUGUGACUAGGGAAAUGUAUUUGAUAUGAGAGCAAUUAAAUAAAUUUGUAAACUGA